rnacentral:rRNA from 1 species
AGAGUUUGAUCCUGGCUCAGGACGAACGCUGGCGGCGUGCCUAAUACAUGCAAGUAGAACGCUGAAGGAGGAGCUUGCUUCUCUGGAUGAGUUGCGAACGGGUGAGUAACGCGUAGGUAACCUGCCUGGUAGCGGGGGAUAACUAUUGGAAACGAUAGCUAAUACCGCAUAAGAGUGGAUGUUGCAUGACAUUUGCUUAAAAGGUGCACUUGCAUCACUACCAGAUGGACCUGCGUUGUAUUAGCUAGUUGGUGGGGUAACGGCUCACCAAGGCGACGAUACAUAGCCGACCUGAGAGGGUGAUCGGCCACACUGGGACUGAGACACGGCCCAGACUCCUACGGGAGGCAGCAGUAGGGAAUCUUCGGCAAUGGACGGAAGUCUGACCGAGCAACGCCGCGUGAGUGAAGAAGGUUUUCGGAUCGUAAAGCUCUGUUGUAAGAGAAGAACGAGUGUGAGAGUGGAAAGUUCACACUGUGACGGUAUCUUACCAGAAAGGGACGGCUAACUACGUGCCAGCAGCCGCGGUAAUACGUAGGUCCCGAGCGUUGUCCGGAUUUAUUGGGCGUAAAGCGAGCGCAGGCGGUUAGAUAAGUCUGAAGUUAAAGGCUGUGGCUUAACCAUAGUAGGCUUUGGAAACUGUUUAACUUGAGUGCAAGAGGGGAGAGUGGAAUUCCAUGUGUAGCGGUGAAAUGCGUAGAUAUAUGGAGGAACACCGGUGGCGAAAGCGGCUCUCUGGCUUGUAACUGACGCUGAGGCUCGAAAGCGUGGGGAGCAAACAGGAUUAGAUACCCUGGUAGUCCACGCUGUAAACGAUGAGUNGAACAUUCAAGGCUGUAACAUCGUGUUUAUUUUUAGCGACAUCAAUGCCCACAUAAAGCAUGGGAGUACCUCCAGAUGUAGUAUUUCAAGUCUACUUGGUUAUCCACGAAUUUUUUGCCUUGUUACCUUAGACGAGAUAAAACGUCUAUGCGUUAUCAAACUCAUUACCAAUUGAAACAAAAAACUGUGGUUAGAGCCUUUCGGAAAUCGUCAAGCGAUUGGAGGGAAUAAACUAAUCCACAGUGGCUUAUUCCAAGUAUACCACUUGGGCUUUGGCAGUAGCUAACUGCGCUAAAUAUAAUAUAAGGAGAAAUAGAUGGAUUUAUGGUUUUCUGAAGU